AGCGAAGAGAGCGGGAGAGAAGGAAAAAAAAAGGAAAAGAAGUGGGAAAAGAGGCAGCACUACUGCAGAGAGUGGAGCGCCCUAGUGUCAUGAAUUGCAAGCACAGUACGGAUAGGAGUUUCGGAAUUCAGUGUUGGCCCCACAUCAAAUUAAAGCCCAUGAUCCUGAUCAUCGAAGGAUCAUUCCGUCAGACAUAAUAGCCGAGUUGAGGGCGCGGAAAGCUGCACAGCACCGCAGCAGCCACCACAGGACCCAUCACAGCCCGCUGCUGCUGCAGCUUCGCCAUCGCAGCCCGAGGCGCAGACUGGACCGGCACGGGCGGCAGCGAAGAGAGCGGGAGAGAAGGAAAAAAAAAGGAAAAGAAGUGGGAAAAGAGGCAGCACUACUGCAGAGAGUGGAGCGCCCUAGUGUCAUGAAUUGCAAGCACAGUACGGAUAGGAGUUUCGGAAUUCAGUGUUGGCCCCACAUCAAAUUAAAGCCCAUGAUCCUGAUCAUCGAAGGAUCAUUCCGGUAGACAUAAUAGCCGAGUUGAGGGCGCGGAAAGCUGCACAGCACCGCAGCAGCCACCACAGGAGCCAUCACAGCCCGCUGCUGCUGCAGCUUCGCCAUCGCAGCCCGCAUCGCAGAUUAGACCGGCACGGGUGGCAGCGAAGAGAGCGGGAGAGAAGGAAAAAAAAAGGAAAAGAAGUGGGAAAAGGUAAGAGACGCGAGUAUUAUGAACAAAAACGGAACCAUCGCCGCUGUCACAAAGAUCUCAUCGAUCA